ACUCUAGCUACAGGCUUAACACAUGCAAGUCGAGGGGCAGCAUGGUCUUAGCUUGCUAAGGCCGAUGGCGACCGGCGCACGGGUGAGUAACACGUAUCCAACCUGCCGUCUACUCUUGGACAGCCUUCUGAAAGGAAGAUUAAUACAAGAUGGCAUCAUGAGUCCGCAUGUUCACAUGAUUAAAGGUAUUCCGGUAGACGAUGGGGAUGCGUUCCAUUAGAUAGUAGGCGGGGUAACGGCCCACCUAGUCUUCGAUGGAUAGGGGUUCUGAGAGGAAGGUCCCCCACAUUGGAACUGAGACACGGUCCAAACUCCUACGGGAGGCAGCAGUGAGGAAUAUUGGUCAAUGGGCGAGAGCCUGAACCAGCCAAGUAGCGUGAAGGAUGACUGCCCUAUGGGUUGUAAACUUCUUUUAUAAAGGAAUAAAGUCGGGUAUGGAUACCCGUUUGCAUGUACUUUAUGAAUAAGGAUCGGCUAACUCCGUGCCAGCAGCCGCGGUAAUACGGAGGAUCCGAGCGUUAUCCGGAUUUAUUGGGUUUAAAGGGAGCGUAGAUGGAUGUUUAAGUCAGUUGUGAAAGUUUGCGGCUCAACCGUAAAAUUGCAGUUGAUACUGGAUAUCUUGAGUGCAGUUGAGGCAGGCGGAAUUCGUGGUGUAGCGGUGAAAUGCUUAGAUAUCACGAAGAACUCCGAUUGCGAAGGCAGCCUGCUAAGCUGCAACUGACAUUGAGGCUCGAAAGUGUGGGUAUCAAACAGGAUUAGAUACCCUGGUAGUCCACACGGUAAACGAUGAAUACUCGCUGUUUGCGAUAUACUGCAAGCGGCCAAGCGAAAGCGUUAAGUAUUCCACCUGGGGAGUACGCCGGCAACGGUGAAACUCAAAGGAAUUGACGGGGGCCCGCACAAGCGGAGGAACAUGUGGUUUAAUUCGAUGAUACGCGAGGAACCUUACCCGGGCUUAAAUUGCAGAUGAAUUACGGUGAAAGCCGUAAGCCGCAAGGCAUCUGUGAAGGUGCUGCAUGGUUGUCGUCAGCUCGUGCCGUGAGGUGUCGGCUUAAGUGCCAUAACGAGCGCAACCCUUGUUGUCAGUUACUAACAGGUUCCGCUGAGGACUCUGACAAGACUGCCAUCGUAAGAUGUGAGGAAGGUGGGGAUGACGUCAAAUCAGCACGGCCCUUACGUCCGGGGCUACACACGUGUUACAAUGGGGGGUACAGAGGGCCGCUACCACGCGAGUGGAUGCCAAUCCCCAAAACCUCUCUCAGUUCGGACUGGAGUCUGCAACCCGACUCCACGAAGCUGGAUUCGCUAGUAAUCGCGCAUCAGCCACGGCGCGGUGAAUACGUUCCCGGGCCUUGUACACACCGCCCGUCAAGCCAUGGGAGCCGGGGGUACCUGAAGUGCGUAACCGCGAGGAGCGCCCUAGGGUAAAACUGGUGACUGGGGCUA
rnacentral:rRNA from 1 species